GUUUGUAUCUCGUGCGUGGUAGUAGUUAAGAUUAAAAGCCUAACUAGCUAUAUGCACGUAGUCGUAACUGAAAGGUUGAUCGACCACAGUGGGCCUGAAUAAAGCCCAUGACGAUUGUCACAGCAGUGAGGAAUAUUGGUCAAUAGCCUAACGGCUGAGAAUAUUUAUAUUUUUUAUUGUUUUCUUAUUAAUUUCUUUUAUUAAUGAAAAUUAAUAAAGAGGCAAUAAGAUAUAUUUACAAGCGUUGCACGGCUGUCUUCAGUUAAUGUCGCGAGACUUUGGUUAGUUCCAUUAAAUUAACGUAAACCCUUACUUUAUUUUUAUAUAGAGUACCCCGCUAUAUUGGAU
rnacentral:rRNA from 1 species